GAUUUUGCUGAAAGGACCCUGAUAGAGCUGUCUCUUGUGAGACUAUGCCGGGGCCUGGAAAAUACAAAGAGAAUUUUUAAAACUUAAACAUCUAAACUGGGCAAGUGUUUAGAAGAAUAGUAUACCUCAUAGAACUGGAUUAAUGGGCAGCAACAUCUACUUUUUAAUCUCUUCAAGAUAAUUUAAGAGCAUCUGAUUGAGGCAAAGGGGUGGCCCAUCACACCAGGCUAUUUACAUGGAAUCCAAUUUCAUAAUACUGUCCAUCCUCAAAUAUACAUAAAUGAAAGCUUUCUGAAGAAAGUAUCCAAUUAUAGGUAAAAUUUCAGACAGAGAAAGCCAAAAUGUCAUGUGUUACUUUUUAUGAGUGGAAGGUAAAGUUGGUCUGAAAGAAGUAGCAAGAAAGAAGA
rnacentral:lncRNA from 1 species